CCUGUCACCCUAUCACCGGACAUUCAGGAAGGACGGUGACCUGCUGGGGACACUGUGGCCUCCCAGUGCAGGGUCUAUUUUGGGGUGCAGGGAGCCCCAGAACCCCAGCUCUAGCAGUUGUAGGGAGUCCCCACCUGGCCACGCAGGGGCUUCAGGGGCGGGCGCACAGGCAGGCCAGAGCAGCAGGAAACAGCAGGGUGAAGCCAGGGCCACAGGUUCCUGCCAGCUGCGUCCUCAGGACCUGGCAGAGCAAGGGGACAGCUACGAAGCUCCCUGGGCCCCAGGAUGGCCGCUUCCUGUCACUGUGCCCCUUGCAAUGACAACUUCAGAAAGGCGUUGUUUUGGUUCUGAACGUCUUUACUACAAGCUAGAGCACAGGCUGAAUACCAGAGCACUUGAGGGGCAGCCUUGCGAGGCAGGCAGGCCAGCUGUCCUGGUCAUACCCACGCCAGGCAGCUUAAAGCUAUGACAGCUGUAAAGGGUGAUAAACCAACAAGCCAGCACUUAAACGCUGUGGUCACACGAGCAAGCUGUGUGCAGCAAGACGAGGCAGCGGGACUGGGGGAGCUACAGCGCCGGAGCCUGCAGAGGGUGGGGGUGGGGCAAGCCACCCAAUUCCCUUUCACAGGAAUAGAAAGAUACAGACUCGUUACAGCCAACUACCAAAACUGUGCCAAGAGAUCAGGGUGACUGCCUGAGACUGCUACCUGGUAUAGGUGCCACUCUGCAAACGCUGUGGGGCCUGGAACGAUCCCUGAGCACCGACACAGCUUGGGUCCACU